AGGAAAUUGUUCCCUUGCUGGCUCAUAAAAACUCAACGCUCACGAUUUAAUGACGCCGAAAUGGAUGCCCCUAUGAAGAUUACACUACAGUUCACCCCUUUAAAACAUCGAUCAAUCAUUACCUCUUCUCUCUCUCUCUCAAAUUUUUAUCUUUAGAACUAAAAUUUAAAAAAAAAAAAAAAAAAAAAAAAAGAUUUCUCUUCUCUUUCCCAUACUGGCUUGGAUUAUCUCCCCAAUUAUUGGGAAGAGAAAGGUUUUGGGGUUUUCUUUGAUUGUUCCAACAAAGAAAAUACAAAGUGGAUCUAAUUUGAGUUUCUUUCUUUGCCUUCUUCCCAUAAAGUUUAAUCCUUUUCAAAUGGUUUUCAUGUCUGAUUUUAGAUUUACAGACAAAGUUUCUGAGGAAGAAGCUGGAGAGUGGGAAAGGGAAACAUAAAUUCAAACACCAUUCAGUAAAAUCCUCCGAGCGACUUUAAUCACAGAACCAAUGGCGGCUAUAUCACCGCCAGUGCCGGAAAAUCCGGCAGCGGCGGUUCUGAUCGGGCAAAUGGAUGUUGAAUUUGCCAAGUGUGAGUGUUGUGGGCUGACAGAGGAAUGUACAGGGGCCUAUAUUGAGGGAAUCCGCCGCCGGUUCGACGGAAAAUGGAUUUGCGGUUUGUGUUCGGAGGCGGUUCAAGAUGAGAUUCUCAAGUCCGAUGAACUUAUCACCACGGAAGAAGCCAUAGCAAAGCAUAUGAGUUUUUGUAAGAAAUUUGCUGCCGCCGUCGGCCCUCCGCCGGACCCGACGCCUCAUCUCAUAAGUGCUAUGAGACAGAUCCUCCGUCGGAGUUUAGAUUCCCCAAGAGCAUUGAGGUCUAGUCCGGCCACUCCAACCACCGCUGCCGACAACCAAAUCCGCCGCCGGGCUCUUGCUUGAUCCGCAAGCCGUUUCAUUUCUCUCUCUGGUUGACGAUGAUGAACAUUGGAUUUUUCCAGAGAAGGAAAGAAUUUUUCCAAGCAAAUAAAUAGGAUUAAAAUCCCCUCCCCCCCCCAAAAUUAAAAAUAAAAAUAAAAAAAUAAAACAUGAAAUAGAGAAAAUAAUGUUUGAUCUUUGAUAUAAGCUUUUAAGUUCGAUCUCAAUCUGUAGUUUUUACGACGUACUUUUUAUUUUCUCUUGCUUUCGAUUUCUUUUCUUUUUUUUUUUUUUUUUUUCCUUUUUUGGGGAAAUUUUUGUGAAGAUCGAAGAAGAAAUUGAAAAUUAUAAUGAUUAGUUUGUGGAAUGGGUGACCUAACAGAAUCAAUUAUUGAG